rnacentral:rRNA from 1 species
UACGUAGGGACCAAGCGUUGUUCGGAUUUACUGGGCGUAAAGGGCGCGUAGGCGGCUAUUCAAGUCAGUUGUGAAAUCUCCGAGCUUAACUCGGAACGGUCAACUGAUACUGUUUUGCUAGAGUACAGAAGGGGCAAUCGGAAUUCUUGGUGUAGCGGUGAAGUGCGUAGAUAUCAAGAGGAACACCUGAGGUGAAGACGGGUUGCUGGGCUGAUACUGACGCUGAGGCGCGAAAGCUAGGGUAGCAAACGGG